rnacentral:misc_RNA from 1 species
UAUGGAUCAGUUUGAUAAGGAUGGCGAUGGCAUGAUAGAAAAUGAAGGGUUCCCUGAUCAAACGUACGAUGCAUGGACUGUUAGUGGUGUGAGCACAUACAGUGGAGGGCUCUGGGUAGCAGCUCUACAAGCUGCCUCAGCAAUGGCUCGUGAGGUUGGUGAUGCUGCAGCUGCUGAUUACCUUUGGGUUAAGUUUCAGAAGGCAAAGUCUGUAUAUGAUAAGUUAUGGAAUGGUUCUUACUUUAAUUAUGACAAUAGUGGCCGGAGAUCAAG